UACAGAGGGGGGCAAGCGUUAUUCGGAAUUAUUGGGCGUAAAGGGCGCGUAGGCGGCCUGGCAAGUGGAAGGUGAAAUCCCUCGGCUUAACCGAGGAACUGCCCUCCAAACUGCUUGGCUUGAGUCCGGGAGAGGUGAGUGGAAUUCCCCAGUGUAGCGGUGAAAUGCGUAGAGAUCCGGAGGAACACCGACGGCGUAGGCAGCGCCCUGGACGACACCUGACGCUGAGGCACGAAAGCUGGGGGAGCGAACAGG
rnacentral:rRNA from 1 species